UACGUAGGGGGCCAGCGUUGUCCGGAAUCAUUGGGCGUAAAGCGCGCGUAGGCGGUCAGGUAAGUCCGGUGUGAAAGUCAUAGGCUCAACCUAUGGAUGCCGCUGGAAACUGCCUGACUUGAGUCCGGGAGGGGCGAGUGGAAUUCCUGGUGUAGCGGUGAAAUGCGCAGAUAUCAGGAGGAACACCAAUAGCGAAGGCAGCUCGCUGGGACGUUACUGACACUGAGGCGCGAAAGCGUGGGGAGCGAACAGG
rnacentral:rRNA from 1 species